rnacentral:rRNA from 1 species
AAUUUUGCUCAAUGGGCGCAAGCCUGAAGCAGCGACGCCGCGUGAAUGAUGAAGUCUUUCGGGAUGUAAAGUUCUGUCAACAGGGACAAUAAUGAUGGUACCUGUGGAGGAAGCACCGGCAAACUAUGUGCCAGCAGCCGCGGUAAUACAUAGGGUGCAAGCGUUAUCCGGAUUUACUGGGCGUAAAGCGUAUGUAGGCGGCAAUCUAAGUCAAACUUCAAAUCCUGGGGCUCAACCUCAGUUCGGGUUUGAUACUGGAUUGCUAGAGUUUGGGAGAGGAAAGCGGAACUAACAGUGUAGCGGUGAAAUGCGUAGAUAUUGUUAGGAACACCCGUGGCGAAGGCGGCUUUCUGGAUCAACACUGACGCUGAGAUACGAAAGCGUGGGGAGCAA